ensembl:lincRNA
UGAUGGAUGGUCCUUUUCAGCUCCCUUCUGUGCUCAAUAUCUUCUAUUUGCUCCUUCAGGUCCAUUUACUCCCUUCCUUCCUCUGCUCUGCUUUAAGGCCUCUAUCAGUGGCCCCAUGCUUUCUGGCUUCUGGAUGGGUUUGACCAAUGGAGAAAGGGAAAACACUGAAAAUGAGGAAUGUAUUUCAUCAGCUCCCCUCCUGUGGGGUCACCUUGGGCUGGCUGCAUUGGUUUCACUGAUCCAGUUAUUAGGUGCUCCAGUGGAUGAGUUUCUAAUCUGCAACUGCAGGAAGAGUGGGAGGCACGUGGUGGAGGCCUGUGACAUCCAAUGCAAGAACCAAAAGAUGUACAGCUGUUGAUGAAGGAAGGGAAUGCUGUUUAGUGUGGGUGGAGAAACAGUAUCUUUGGAAAGGAAGGCCGGAUCCUGGCAGGAAGGAAAUUCAGAUCUCAUGUACUGAUCCUGAAAAUAGUAUAGAAGUAACCUGAAGUCUUCAUAGAGUUUGUGUUCUGCAAUGAUCAACCCAACCAUGGUUCUUCCUAUCCCUCACGGGUAUGUUUGCAAAACUACAGAGCCACAAGGAGACACCUUUGGUUAUCAAACGUGGCUGGGCAUAACCAUCCACAAGUAAGGGAGCACAGACCUGCCCUAAAUAAUUUUGCUUCAUUAACCUGCAGGAUUAUUUUGAAGUGCUUUAAGGCGAAAAAAACAAGUUACAGGAUAUAAUUGCUGAAAACUUUAACAGAAUUUUCAUAAAGCCUUUAAAAGAUUAAAUCAUAAAAGAAGAUCAGAGAGGACUACUGGAGAUUAAAAAUUGUUUAUGGAAGAAAACACAAAGAAUAAGCAUCUAUGGGACAUUUUCUGUAUGAUGAAAGGUAAAUGGAUACCUGAAGGACCAAACUCUGAGUAGAGAGCUUUAGUAUGUUUAUGACCUAUGAGGGAAAGGAUUGCAAACUCUGCUAGUGAUACAAGGUUAUUUAGAUUGAAGAUGAAUAAAAACUCAGAACCUAAUUUCAGAUUAAAAGAAGAUUUUUCAAAUUCUUAACAUACGUAAAGAGCUUUAAAACCCUUGACAUGAGAGUGCAUAUAUGUAAGAAUAGUUUCAUUGCUUACUCCAUUCAGUAGUUAUUAUAUUCAAUCUCAUGAAGGCCAUCAUUUUAGUCACCGGCCAAGAAAUUUCUGUAAAGUUUGUGAGAUGCAGAAAUCCUUGGGAUGUAUUUUAUUGGGUGCUUUAAAUGUACUAUAUAAAGCAUUAGUGAGGAGAAAUUAUAAAAAUUAUAACACAAUAACCCUUUCAUUUUUAAAAUGAGUUAUCUGUAUAUUAAGUGCUGAUGGUGUAAAUUAAAAGCACAUAGGGAGAGCUUAAAUAUAUGAGUGGGGCACAAAAUGCAUACUCUUAUUUUCCAUUUUCUCUGGCCACUUUCAGGCAUAAUACAUAUCAAUUAACUUUCUAAUCCAUUAAUAAGGAUGGUUUCUCACCUGCACGUGCUCAAAUGGAAGUCUAGAAAUAUCCCAGUUCAAGACUGCAGUGGGUUGUUAUCUUGCCUUUUUCCUUUAGUUUAUGAUUUAUUGUUGAAAUGAAGCCAUACUGUGUCUAGUGUAACUGUACACUUUAUUUGAGGGUGUAGAAUUAUUAUAUCUUAAUAAAAAAGGUUUUUCUGUUUAUGUACUUUGUGACAUAGGUGAAUUUACCCAGAAAACUUAUAAUAAGAAAACUGCACAAGUUACUGGGCGUCUGAAGAUGUCAGGAGGCAUCAUGGAAUUUUUAAUGUGCUGGAAUGUAAAAGAACCACUUGCUGAGUUUAAGUAAGCCCUGUAAUAUCUAUCCCAUGCCAG